GCUGGGUGCAGUGGUGUACACCUGUAAUCCUAGUAGCUCAGGAGGCCGAGGCAGGAGGAUUCCAAAUUCAAAGCCAGCCUCAG
rnacentral:sRNA from 1 species